AACUCUUACUAAAAUAAUCGAGAGAGUUACAACUUCUCCCCAGUAGAAAGACCAAGAUAGUUGGUUCCUGAUAGAAAUUCUCCCUACUCAGGAAUCGAACUUAAAUCCCUUGCGUGGGACGGCGGAGUACCUAACUGCUGCACCAAAUACACCGAUUUUAAGUUGGAAGCGAAAUAAAGCUUCGUAAUUGAAUGGCGUUGCGCCUGAAUGUGUGUGAGAUAGACGGCUUGGGUGUCAGAAAGAUGGCAAUCCGUGUUUGAGAUAGGUGGUUUUUGUGUGACGGAAAAGCACAUACGUCGUUAUAAAGUGCGCGUAGAUAUAUAAUAGUAUGUCGUACCAAGUGCGCAUUCGCGAUUGGAUUUUUCGUCACUUGAGAAUGAUUCGGGAUGUCGAUGCGUCUCCGAGCAAAGUGAGUGGGAUCUGUCACCUCUGUUUCCGCGUACCUCUUCACCCCCGCCGCUGCGCGGGAUUAAUCUGUGACAUUCUCAAGAGCUUAUAAGGUGUAGCCUUUUUUUAAAAACCGUAUAUCUGUCAGGGAUUUGUACCGGGCUGCGUGGAAUCUUUGUUUUUGUCUAUUAGUGGAUUAAUGGCAAACAUAGGUCGAUAGUGUGAAACUGUGACAAGUUUUCUGUGAGCGGAAGAGAUUAUUAAAAAAGAACCCUAGAAAUUACAGUUGAAAAAACAUUACAGAAAAAAACCCCAAAACAAACCUGUGAAAAAAAAACUCCUAAAGAAACCGCGAACUACUCUAAGUUUUAAAGAAG